AUUGAACGCUGGCGGCAGGCCUAACACAUGCAAGUCGAGCGGAUGAAGGGAGCUUGCUCCUGGAUUCAGCGGCGGACGGGUGAGUAAUGCCUAGGAAUCUGCCUUGUAGUGGGGGAUAACGUCCGGAAACGGGCGCUAAUACCGCAUACGUCCUGAGGGAGAAAGUGGGGGAUCUUCGGACCUCACGCUAUCAGAUGAGCCUAGGUCGGAUUAGCUAGUUGGUGGGGUAAAGGCCUACCAAGGCGACGAUCCGUAACUGGUCUGAGAGGAUGAUCAGUCACACUGGAACUGAGACACGGUCCAGACUCCUACGGGAGGCAGCAGUGGGGAAUAUUGGACAAUGGGCGAAAGCCUGAUCCAGCCAUGCCGCGUGUGUGAAGAAGGUCUUCGGAUUGUAAAGCACUUUAAGUUGGGAGGAAGAGCAGUAAGUUAAUACCUUGCUGUUUUGACGUUACCAACAGAAUAAGCACCGGCUAACUUCGUG
rnacentral:rRNA from 1 species